UUUCCAUGAUGAAACACAAAAAUUUCAGUUCUGCUUCUGCAAUCUCUUUGAAGAUAACCCUUUUACCAAACGAUACAUACUUAUCUGAUUU
rnacentral:snoRNA from 1 species